rnacentral:rRNA from 1 species
GACGAACGCUGGCGGCGUGCCUAACACAUGCAAGUCGAACGAGGUCCGUGCAGUGGCAACACUGCGGAAGACCUAGUGGCGAACGGGUGAGUAACACGUGAGGAACCUGCCCCGAAGACCGGGAUAACCCUCCGAAAGGAGAGCUAAUACCGGAUACCCCCACCGGAUCGCAUGAUCUGGUGAGGAAAAUGGAUUCCGCUUCGGGAGGGCCUCGCGGCCUAUCAGCUAGUUGGUGGGGUAACGGCCCACCAAGGCAUCGACGGGUAGCUGGUCUGAGAGGACGAUCAG